ACCUGGGUGGCUCAGUCGGUUGAGCAUCUGACUUCAGCUCAGGUCAUGAUCUCACGGUUUGUGAGUUCGAGCCCCACGUCGGGCU
rnacentral:tRNA from 1 species